UACGUAGGGUGCAAGCGUUAAUCGGAAUUACUGGGCGUAAAGCGUGCGCAGGCGGUUUUGUAAGUUUGUCGUGAAAGCCCCGGGCUCAACCUGGGAAUGGCGAUGAAGACUGCAAGGCUGGAAUCUGGCAGAGGGGGGUAGAAUUCCACGUGUAGCAGUGAAAUGCGUAGAGAUGUGGAGGAACACCGAUGGCGAAGGCAGCCCCCUGGGUCAAGAUUGACGCUCAUGCACGAAAGCGUGGGGAGCAAACAGG
rnacentral:rRNA from 1 species